GCUUGCGGCCAGCCCACCUUAGCACACAAAAUCUCAUUUGAUCUCAGAAGCUAAGCAGGGUUGGACCUGGUUAGUAAUUGGAUGAGAGACUGCCUGAGAAUCCCAGGAGCUGCAAGCU
rnacentral:rRNA from 1 species